AAGGUGGAUCUAUUGCCUUUUAUAUUAUUAGUGGAAACCCCCUUAAUUAUUUAAUUAAAUAGAUAUUUAUAAAAUUAUUAUCCAAUAUACCUAAUUUGCCUUUAAAUCUCUUAUUACUUUAGAUCUGUGAUCCCUAAAUUCUGAAAUUAUAUUUCACGCUAUUUCUCUUCUUCCUCCCUUUUCUCUCCACAGACUGCCGUCAUUUCCCCUCUACCUCAGUCCCGCCGCCGCCAUCUCCUCCCCUCGACUUCCGCCGGUCGCCGCUCUCCACUAUUGUCUCCGCUUGCAGCCGCAAAGUCGUUGAGAGCCUAGGGUUUCGGAAAGAAUUUAAUUUUAAUUCGGAAAUAAAAAGUUUGGUUUUUUAUUUCCCACAUACGGCGGAAGAGAGUCCCAUAGUGCUGUUGUUUCCCGUGGCGGUCGGAUAUGGGUUCUUGGCCUCUAAAGAAUAAAUUGAGAAAGUUAUAUUGUAUUCUUGGCACUUUAAUUAUUAUUAUGCGUUAAAAUGACAAGUUUUAUUGAUUUUUUUAGAUUUAUUAUAUUUUAGAGUGAAUAGUUAUAAGAGAUUUGAAUUGUUGUAAUUAGAGAGAAUGGGAUAAUGUUACAGUUAAUUUUCAACAAUUUUUAGUUGAUUUCGAUUUUUUAUCGUUGAUUUUUGUAGUUGAUUUUCUUUUUAGUAAAAUGCUAUUAAAAACAGCUAUUUUGUGGUUCUUGAUUCGGGAAAUAAACGAACAAAACAACUAAAUAAGUAAUCGUUUUCAGUAAUUUGUACUUGAUUUUGGAAAUAGUUGAUUUUGACAAUUUUUUAGUUGAUUCUCA